rnacentral:rRNA from 1 species
AACGAACGCUGGCGGCAGGCCUAACACAUGCAAGUCGAGCGGACCUUUCGGGGUCAGCGGCGGACGGGUGAGUAACGCGUGGGAAUAUGCCCUUCUCUACGGAAUAGUCCUGGGAAACUGGGGGUAAUACCGUAUACGCCCUUUGGGGGAAAGAUUUAUCGGGGAAGGAUUAGCCCGCGUUGGAUUAGGUAGUUGGUGGGGUAAUGGCCUACCAAGCCGACGAUCCAUAGCUGGUUUGAGAGGAUGAUCAGCCACACUGGGACUGAGACACGGCCCAGACUCCUACGGGAGGCAGCAGUGGGGAAUCUUAGACAAUGGGGGCAACCCUGAUCGAGCCAUGCCGCGUGAGUGAUGAAGGCCGUAGGGUUGUAAAGCGCUUUCAGCUGGGAAGAUAAUGACGGUACCAGCAGAAGAAGCCCCGGCUAACUCCGUG